rnacentral:rRNA from 1 species
AGAACGAACGCUGGCGGCAUGCCUAACACAUGCAAGUCGAACGAGACCUUCGGGUCUAGUGGCGCACGGGUGCGUAACGCGUGGGAAUCUGCCCUUGGGUUCGGAAUAACAGCGAGAAAUUGCUGCUAAUACCGGAUGAUGACGUAAGUCCAAAGAUUUAUCGCCCGAGGAUGAGCCCGCGUAGGAUUAGCUUGUUGGUGAGGUAAGAGCUCACCAAGGCGACGAUCCUUAGCUGGUCUGAGAGGGUGAUCAGCCACACUGGGACUGAGACACGGCCCAGACUCCUACGGGAGCAGCGGUAGGGAAUAUGGACAAUGGGCGAAAGCCUGAUCCAGCAAUGCCGCGUGAGUGAUGAAGGCCUUAGGGUUGUAAAGCUCUUUACCGAGAUGAUAAUGACAGUACCGGAGAAUAAGCCCGGCUAACUCCGCGCCAGCAGCCGC